AUUGAACGCUAGCGGGAUGCUUUACACAUGCAAGUCGAACGAGUGGCGGACGGGUGAGUAAUAUAUCGGAACGUGCCCAGUAUCGGGGGAUAACUACUCGAAAGAGUGGCUAAUACCGCAUACUAUUGGCGCUGCCGAUAUCGGAUUAGCUAGUUGGGGGGGUAAAGUCUCACCAAGGACACGAUCCGUAUCUGGUUUGAGAGGACGAUCAGCCACACUGGGACUGAGCCACGGCCCAGACUCCUAAGGGUGGCAGCAGUGGGGAAUUUUGGACAAUGGGGGAAACCCUGAUCCAGCCAUCCCGCGUGUAUGAGAAGGCCUUCGGGUUGGAAAGUACUUUUGGCAGAGAAGCGGUAUCUGCAGAAUAAGCACCGGCUAACUACGUGCCAGCCGCCGCGGUAAUUC
rnacentral:rRNA from 1 species